rnacentral:tRNA from 1 species
ACCGAUAUAGCUCAGCGGUAGAGCAGCGCCCUUACAAGGCGACGGUCACUGGUUCAAUCCCAGUUGUCGGUA